AACUUCACAUGAGAAGCAGAGUGGCGCAGCGGAAGCGUGCUGGGCCCAUAACCCAGAGGUCGAUGGAUCGAAACCAUCCUCUGCUAAAUCA